GACGAACGCUGGCGGCGUGCUUAACACAUGCAAGUCGAGGGGGCUCAGCAAUGGGUCACCGGCGAACGGGUGCGUAACACGUGAGCAACCUGCCGCAGAGUGGGGGAUAGCCGGCCCAACGGCCGGGUAAUACCGCAUACGAUCUUCUGGGGACAUCCCCGGGAGAUGAAAGAUUUAUCGCUCUGCGAGGGGCUCGCGGCCUAUCAGCUAGUUGGCGAGGUAACGGCUCACCAAGGCGACGACGGGUAGCUGGUCUGAGAGGAUGGCCAGCCACAUUGGGACUGCGACACGGCCCAGACUCCUACGGGAGGCAGCAGUGGGGAAUCUUGCGCAAUGGGCGAAAGCCUGACGCAGCGACGCCGCGUGGGGAGGAAGGUUUUCGGAUCGUAAACCCCUGUUGCCCGGGACGAAUCCCUGGUUUAGACCAGGUUGACGGUACCGGGUGAGGAAGCACCGGCUAACUCCGUGCC
rnacentral:rRNA from 1 species